rnacentral:sRNA from 1 species
AUCUUAUACAUUCAAUUUUGUAAUACAAUUUAACUAUCUAUUUCAUAAAAAACUCGAUUUUAAUUCUACACACUUCAUCUUACUUGAUAAUGAUUUCAUGUCAAAAUAGUAUAUAUAUAUGAGAUCAAAUCUAUAUCUUAGUUAAUAUUAAAAAUUAUUAACAAUUAACAAAACAUAAUUCAUAAUAAUAAAACAUUUGUUAAUACCAUAUAUAUUAAAAAUUUGACCAAUAACAUAUAUAAU